rnacentral:rRNA from 1 species
UUGGGGUUUGCAUAUCAAAUAGCGGAGCAAAAGAAACUAACAAGGAUUCCCCUAGUAACGGCGAGUGAAGCGGGAAGAGCUCAAAUUUGAAAUCUGGCAGUCUUCGAUUGUCCGAGUUGUAAUCUAUAGAGGCGUUUUCCGUGCCGGACCGUGUCCAAGUCUCCUGGAAAGGAGUAUCAAAGAGGGUGAUAAUCCCGUACUUAACACGACCACCGGUGCUCUGUGAUACGUCUUCUACGAGUCGAGUUGUUUGGGAAUGCAGCUCAAAAUGGGUGGUGAAUUCCAUCUAAAGCUAAAUAUUGGCGAGAGACCGAUAGCGAACAAGUACCGUGAGGGAAAGAUGAAAAGCACUUUGGAAAGAGAGUUAAACAGUACGUGAAAUUGUUGAAAGGGAAACGAUUGAAGUCAGUCGUGUUCUUUGGAUUCAGCCAGUUCUGCUGGUCUACUUCCUUGGAACGGGUCAACAUCAGUUUUGUCCGGUGGAUAAAGGUAGUAGGAAUGUGACUUCUCCGGAAGUGUUAUAGCCUAUUAUCACAUACACUGGGUGAGACUGAGGACUGCAGCUCGCCUUUAUGGCCGGUCUUCGGACACGUCGAGCUAGGAGUACAUAAGAGAACC